GUACACGCUGUGACUAGCAUAUCAAUAAGCGGAGGAAAAGAAACUAACAAGGAUUCCCCUAGUAACGGCGAGUGAAGCGGGAAGAGCUCAAAUUUGAAAUCUUAAAGGGUUUCCCUUUACGAAUUGUAGUUUAAAGAAGUGUUUUCUGUUAGAGUUUCGGUAAAAGUUCUUUGGAAUAGGACAUCAUAGAGGGUGAGAAUCCCGUAUUUGACCGUUAUUUCUAGCUUUGUGAUACACUUUCAAGAGUCGGAUUGUUUGGGAAUGCAGUCCAAAAUGGGUGGUAAAUUUCAUCUAAAGCUAAAUAUUGGCGAGAGACUGAUAGCGAACAAGUACCGUGAGGGAAAGAUGAAAAGAACUUUGAAAAGAGAGUUAAACAGUACGUGAAAUUGUCAAAAGGGAAGCGUUUGACACCAGUGUUGUUUUCUCGAAAAUCAAUUAAAAAUGGCUCGAUUUUGUAUUGUUGAGACCUUAAAAGCUCACUGUACAUUUUUCGUGUCUUUUUUAAUGCACUUUUCGUUUAACAAGUCAACAUCAGUUUCUUUUGUUGUAAAAGGGUCAUUGGAAGGUGGCUUUCUUUUCGGAGAAAGUGUUUAUAGCCUUUGGCCUCUGCAAUCGGAGAGACUGAGGUCUGCAGCGUAGACUCUUCGGGGUUAGAUACAUUUGUGCUAAGUUAUAGCAUUUUAUAGACAACUUGUUGACUAUGAUUAGUCUUGUAGCUUACUCGCUUAUGCUAUUUUACCUACGCUUAGGAUGUUGAGCGCAUGUCUCUCUCU
rnacentral:rRNA from 1 species